rnacentral:rRNA from 1 species
UCGGGAAUUUUGGGCAAUGGGCGAAAGCCUGACCCAACAACGCCGCGUGAGGGAUGAAGUAUUUCGGUAUGUAAACCUCGAAAGAAUGGGAAGAAUAAAUGACGGUACCAUUUAUAAGCUCCGGCUAACUACGUGCCAGCAGCCGCGGUAAUACGUAGGGAGCAAGCGUUGUUCGGAUUUACUGGGCGUAAAGGGCGCGUAGGCGGCGCGGUAAGUCACUUGUGAAAUCUCUGAGCUUAACUCAGAACGGCCAAGUGAUACUGCUGUGCUAGAGUGCGGAAGAGGCAACCGGAAUUCUUGGUGUAGCGGUGAAAUGCGUAGAUAUCAAGAGGAACACCUGAGGCGAAGGCGGGUUGCUGGGCCGACACUGACGCUGAUGCGCGAAAGCCAGGGGAGCAAACG